ACGUAGAGUGCAAACGUUGUUCGGAAUUACUGGGCAUAAAGAGCUCGUAGGCGGCCCGGUAAGUCGGUUGUGAAAGCCCCUGGCUCAACCAGGGAAUUGCAGCCGAUACUGCCGAGCUCGAGUGUGGGAGGGGAGUGUGGAACUUUCAGUGGAGCGGUGAAAUGCGUAGAUAUUGGAAGGAACGCCGGUGGCGAAAGCGACACUCUGGCCCACUACUGACGCUGAGGAGCGAAAGCUAGGGUAGCGAACGGG
rnacentral:rRNA from 1 species